rnacentral:lncRNA from 1 species
GAGAAAGGAAGGAAGGAAGGAAGUUAUACCAGGAUGCUGAAAUGGCGAAGUAGAUCACUGGUCUGUCACAUCAUAAAUAAGAACUACAAACCUUGUAUGCGAAUCCACUGACCACACCAGGUGAAAGGCUGUUGUUCCUUUAACUGAAGGAUGCCAACGUGGUGGAAGAGGACUGAAGAUCAAUUUUGGCCAUGACAUAAUUACUACAGUUGGAUGCCUCUGUGAUCAUACCAGAGUAGUUUGGUGUUUCCCUCAUUAGGUAGCUUAAAAGCCCUACAAUCCAAUGGCUGGAGUUUGAUGUUCAGUCCCAUUAGAUCCUUUUUUGUUAUUUCAGAAUUCAGUGGGCAAAGGUGAACUUACACAUAUGCUACUAUUUGUUUUGCUAUGCAGUUCUCUCAAUAAAUACUGUAGCAGAAA